rnacentral:rRNA from 1 species
UACGUAGGGUGCAAGCGUUAAUCGGAAUUACUGGGCGUAAAGCGUGCGCAGGCGGUUUUGUAAGUUUGUCGUGAAAGCCCCGGGCUCAACCUGGGAAUUGCGAUGAAGACUGCAGGGCUUGAAUCUGGCAGAGGGGGGUAGAAUUCCACGUGUAGCAGUGAAAUGCGUAGAGAUGUGGAGGAACACCGAUGGCGAAGGCAGCCCCCUGGGUCAAGAUUGACGCUCAUGCACGAAAGCGUGGGGAGCAAACAGG